GGAGUAUCGACCCUCUCUGUGCCGAAGCUAACGCUUUAAGUACCCCGCCUGGGGAGUACGGUCGCAAGACUAAAACUCAAAGGAAUUGACGGGGGCCCGCACAAGCAGCGGAGCGUGUGGUUUAAUUCGAUGCAAAACGAAGAACCUUACCAAGGUUUGACAUGACAGAAGUAGUGAACCGAAAGGGAAACG
rnacentral:rRNA from 1 species